AUUGAACGCUGGCGGCAGGCCUAACACAUGCAAGUCGAGCGGAUGAAGGGAGCUUGCUCCUGAAUUCAGCGGCGGACGGGUGAGUAAUGCCUAGGAAUCUGCCUGGUAGUGGGGGAUAACGUCCGGAAACGGGCGCUAAUACCGCAUACGUCCUGAGGGAGAAAGUGGGGGAUCUUCGGACCUCACGCUAUCAGAUGAGCCUAGGUCGGAUUAGCUAGUUGGUGGGGUAAAGGCCUACCAAGGCGACGAUCCGUAACUGGUCUGAGAGGAUGAUCAGUCACACUGGAACUGAGACACGGUCCAGACUCCUACGGGAGGCAGCAGUGGGGAAUAUUGGACAAUGGGCGAAAGCCUGAUCCAGCCAUGCCGCGUGUGUGAAGAAGGUCUUCGGAUUGUAAAGCACUUUAAGUUGGGGGGAAGGGCAGUAAGUUAAUACCUUGCUGUUUUGACGUUACCAACAGAAUAAGCACCGGCUAACUUCGU
rnacentral:rRNA from 1 species